rnacentral:rRNA from 1 species
UACGGAGGGUGCGAGCGUUGUCCGGAAUCACUGGGCGUAAAGGGCGCGUAGGCGGCAUGCCAAGCGUGUGGUGAAAGCCCGGGGCUCAACCCCGGGUCGGCCGUGCGGACUGGCGUGCUCGAGCACUGUAGGGGCGGGUGGAAUUCCGGGUGUAGCGGUGGAAUGCGUAGAGAUCCGGAAGAACACCGGUGGCGAAGGCGGCCCGCUGGGCAGGAAGGCUCGCAAGAGCCGGCUGACGCUGAGGCGCGAAAGCAUGGGGAGCGAACAGG